rnacentral:lncRNA from 1 species
GCCAGAACCAGCUUACUAAUAAUGAGAACAAUGUCUUACAACAGACCAGUUCAUUCACAAACCAUCCUUUAGCCAAAGCUUUGAGAAAAAGUCUCCCUAAGAAAAAGAAUGACAAAUGUUAUGGCACUGUCUAAAAGCACUUAAAGAAUCCAGAGGAAGAAUGUUCCAAAAAUCCGCAGCAAGACUAAAUAUUUGGGGUGUGAUGUGUGACAAUCAAGAGCCUUAAAAGAAGUGUUUAGUCUUCAGUACACACUUGAUAUGAGGCAACCAAAAAAAAUACUUGAUCUACCAACAACAUAUGUUGAGCAAACCUACGUAUUUUCCCUGUGAACUUACGCUGUGUGACUUCCAUCUCCGGAAAAUAAGAAAACUUUUCAUUACACAUAUUGCCCUCACAGCAACAAAAAUAUACUUCAGGGCUGUCUUUUUUUUCUACACAAUCAGUC